UACGUAGGGGGCAAGCGUUGUCCGGAUUUAUUGGGCGUGAAGCGCGUGUAGGCGGCCAUGUAGGUCUGACGUGAAAUUCCGAGGCUCAACCUCGGCAGGUCGUUGGAAACCAUAUGGCUAGAGUCCGGAAGAGGAGAGUGGAAUUCCUGGUAUAGCGGUGAAAUGCGCAGAUAUCAGGAAGAACACCAAUGGCGAAGGCAACUCUCUGGGACGGUACUGACGCUGAGACGCGAAAGCGUGGGGAGCGAACAGG
rnacentral:rRNA from 1 species